rnacentral:rRNA from 1 species
GAGUUUGAUCCUGGCUCAGGAUGAACGCUGGCGGUCUGCUUAACACAUGCAAGUCGAACGGAAUUCUUCGGGAUUUAGUGGCGGACGGGUGAGUAACACGUGAGAAUCUGCACUCAGGAUGGGGACAACAGCGGGAAACUGCUGCUAAUACCCAAUGUGCCGAAAGGUGAAAGAUUUAUCGCCUGAGAAUGAGCUCGCGGCCGAUUAGUUAGUUGGUGGGGUAAAGGCCUACCAAGACGGCGAUCGGUAGCUGGUCUGAGAGGAUGAGCAGCCACACUGGGACUGAGACACGGCCCAGACUCCUACGGGAGGCAGCAGUGGGGAAUUUUCCGCAAUGGGCGCAAGCCUGACGGAGCAAGACCGCGUGGGGGAGGAAGGCUCUUGGGUUGUAAACCCCUUUUCUCAGGGGAGAACACAAUGACGGUACCUGAGGAAUCAGCCUCGGCUAACUCCGUGCCAGCAGCCGCGGUAAUACGGAGGAGGCAAGCGUUAUCCGGAAUUAUUGGGCGUAAAGCGUCCGCAGGUGGUGGGGCAAGUCGGCGGUUAAAGACUGGGGCUUAACUCCAGAAAGGCCGUGGAGACUGCACCACUAGAGGGCAGUAGGGGUAGAGGGAAUUCCCGGUGUAGCGGUGAAAUGCGUAGAGAUCGGGAAGAACACCAGUGGCGAAAGCGCUCUACUGGACUGCAACUGACACUCAGGGACGAAAGCUAGGGGAGCGAAUGGGAUUAGAUACCCCAGUAGUCCUAGCCGUAAACGAUGGAUACUAGGUGUUGUCUGUAUCGACCCAGACAGUGCCGUAGCUAACGCGAUAAGUAUCCCGCCUGGGGAGUACGCACGCAAGUGUGAAACUCAAAGGAAUUGACGGGGGCCCGCACAAGCGGUGGAGUAUGUGGUUUAAUUCGAUGCAACGCGAAAAACCUUACCAGGGCUUGACAUGUCGCGAACCCCGCUGAAAGGUGGGGGUGCCUUCGGGAGCGCGAACACAGGUGGUGCAUGGCUGUCGUCAGCUCGUGUCGUGAGAUGUUGGGUUAAGUCCCGCAACGAGCGCAACCCUCGUUCUUAGUUGCCAUCAUUCAGUUGGGCACUCUAGGGAGACUGCCGGUGAUAAACCGGAGGAAGGUGGGGAUGACGUCAAGUCAUCAUGCCCCUUACGUCCUGGGCUACACACGUACUACAAUGGGUGGGACAAAGGGCAGCGAACUCGCAAGAGCCGGCUAAUCCCAUAAACCUACCCUCAGUUCAGAUUGCUCUCUGCAACUCGAGAGCAUGAAGGAGGAAUCGCUAGUAAUCGCAGGUCAGCAUACUGCGGUGAAUACGUUCCCGGGCCUUGUACACACCGCCCGUCACACCAUGGAAGUUGGCCAUGCCCGAAGUCAUUACUCUAACCCCUCGGGGAGGAGGAUGCCGAAGGCAGGGCUGAUGACUGGGGUGAAGUCGUAACAAGGUA